rnacentral:rRNA from 1 species
GAUGAACGCUGGCGGCGUGCCUAAUACAUGCAAGUCGAGCGAAUGGAUUAAGAGCUUGCUCUUAUGAAGUUAGCGGCGGACGGGUGAGUAACACGUGAGCAAUCUGCCCUUGACUCUGGGAUAACUGCGGGAAACUGUAGCUAAUACCGGAUACUUUCACCGGGGGGCAUCCUCUGGUGAUGAAAGAAUUUCGGUCAAGGAUGAGCUCGCGGCCUAUCAGCUUGUUGGUGAGGUAACGGCUCACCAAGGCGACGACGGGUAACCGGCCUGAGAGGGUGACCGGUCACACUGGGACUGGGACACGGCCCAGACGCCUGCGGGAGGCAGCAGUGGGGAAUAUUGCACAAUGGGCGCAAGCCUGAUGCAGCAACGCCGCGUGAGGGAUGACGGCCUUCGGGUUGUAAACCUCUUUUAGUAGGGAAGAAGCGAAAGUGACGGUACCUGCAGAAAAAGCACCGGCUAACUACGUGCCAGCCGCCGCGGUAA